ACUUUUACUUUUGGUAAUCUGCAUUCAAUUUGCAUUAAUUGUUAUCGGCAGACAUCAUAGAUUAUUUUUGUUUAAUAUAGGGAUAGUGAUUUCCUAAGCCACGUGCAAUUGGUACAUCAAUUUCAAUGUUUGUCGCCUCAACCAAGGGCAAUCUCAGUA
rnacentral:misc_RNA from 1 species